GCAAAAGCCCUAUUUAGGGCUACAAAAAAAUCUGUUUUUGAAUUUAU
rfam:Picea glauca, whole genome shotgun sequence.